rnacentral:rRNA from 1 species
GAUGAAUGCUGGCGGCGUGCCUAACACAUGCAAGUCGAGCGGCAGCGCGAGUAGUUUACUACUUGGCGGCGAGCGGCGGACGGCUGAGUAACGCGUGGGAACGUGCCCCAAAGUGAGGAAUAACUGCCCGAAAGGGUGGCUAAUGCCGCAUAUGAUCUUCGGAUUAAAGGAUUUAUCCGCUUUGGGAGCGGCCCGCGUCGGAUUAGGUUGUUGGUGAGGUAAUGGCUCACCAAGCCGACGAUCCGUAGCUGGUCUGAGAGGAUGAUCAGCCAGACUGGGACUGAGACACGGCCCAGACUCCUACGGGAGGCAGCAGUGAGGAAUCUUCCACAAUGGGCGAAAGCCUGAUGGAGCAACGCCGCGUGAAGGAUGAAGGCCUUCGGGUUGUAAACUUCUUUUAUAAGUGAAGAAUAUGACGGUAACUUAUGAAUAAGCACCGGCUAACUACGUGCCAGCAGCCGCGGUAAUAC